rnacentral:ncRNA from 1 species
UUGGCUCCGGUUCACGUCCGUCCCAGGUCCGGGAGGGCGACCCGGCGGCC